rnacentral:tRNA from 1 species
UGGCUCAGUAGAUAAGAGCACUGGAUGCUCUUCCAGAUGACCUGAGUUCAAUUCUCAG